GCCUACGGGGGGCAGCAGUAGGGAAUUUUCGUCAAUGGGCGCAAGCCUGAACGAGCAAUGCCGCGUGAACGAGGAAGGUCUUCGGAUCGUAAAGUUCUGUUGAAGGGGAAAAAGAGCGGAGAGAGGAAAUGGUCUCCGAUUGAUAUUACCCUUCGAGGAAGUCACGGCAAACUACGUGCCAGCAGCCGCGGUAAUACGUAGGUGGCGAGCGUUAUCCGGAAUGAUUGGGCGUAAAGGGUGCGUAGGCGGCCUGCUAAGUCUGGAGUGAAAGGUACCGGCUCAACCGGUACAGGCUCUGGAAACUG
rnacentral:rRNA from 1 species